rnacentral:tRNA from 2 species
GGUGCUGUAGUGUAGUGGUUAUCAUGCUUCGUUGUGGCCGAAUCGACCUGGGUUCGAUUCCCAGCAGCGCCA